rnacentral:lncRNA from 1 species
GUCCGCGCGCGCGGGGCGGCCGCGGCGGUGAGCCUGCGCGUCAGGGCCGCCGGCCUCUCCUUGGCUGUUGGAGGUGAUAGGGGUCGAGGGGAGGGAAAAAGGGGCUGGCGUCAGCCGCCCCUGUGAGGUGGCCGUAGCGUGGACGAGUAAGAAGGGUUGAGUAAAGUGGACAAACACCUGGUUAGGAGAAGAGGGCAGGCCCGCAGCCGCCCUCCGGAGGAGGACUCGGGGCCUCGCGGGCGCCGGAGGAGGUUCCUGGGCCUCGGAGGGCCGCCCCGGCGCGCCGCCCCGGCGCGAGCGGGCGCGGGCGGGGGAGGGGAAGUGAGAGGUUGUUUAUGACCGGGGACUAAUCUCCUCCGCGAGUCCCAGCGCUCCCUCUGGGGAGUGCGGUUGAGGGGCUGUCCUCGCACGGAGCCUCGCUCGGCCUCGGGGGAGCCACGAGAGGUGGGAGUUGGACCCGCAGCGGGCCAGGAGCCCUGUCAUUGGAGGACCCGCCAAAAAGGAAGCAAACCCUCUUUUUCUUUAUCCAACCCCAAAUAGCUAGGGCCUAGGGGGAAGACUCACAUAUCGAUAAAUGGUUUGUUGCCCGUUUUAUUCUCUGGGAAAUACAACUGAUCUUACCAAAGAAAUAACCUGUCUCUUGCCGUGUUUACUUAGAGCCAUAGAAUACCUGUUUCAGAGCUGAAGGGGACCUGAGCCCAUGAUAAUCCAUUACCUCGUGAGAAAGCGGAAAAACUGACUUCAGCUUGCCCAGAUGGCGCAGAGAAUGGGUUUCCCGUAACCCCGCCUGUGUCUUUCCUUCAGCCUCGUCCCAAAUGCCGUGGGAGGGAAGGCACUCUCUGUCAAGCUGCUGUCACCUUACCUGAAGUAAGGAGUCCACGCCUGCAUGUCCGAGGAAAACAGUUUUCUCAAACACAUUAGUUGAAAAACUGAAGACGCUGCCUAAAAUACAAGCUGAGUUAGAGACAGCCCUUGUAAGACUAGAAAAAGAAAUGGAAACUAAGUAACAUGAAUUAACAUAGUCCAGGGUCACAAAGCAACAUGGAACAAGAACCUGGAUCUGAAUUCAGAGGCAGAAUGCUGGAAUCUAAGCCAGAAUGAGGUUACUGCCUAGGCAAAGAAGAAGACAGCUCAUCACAGAAAUGAGUGGCAGAUGUGUUCACAGUACUACAAUCCAAGGCAUGAUUUUGUGCUGUCCUUGGAAAGCACCAAACUAAAGAAGAUCCUACAGAACAUAGAUGAUCCCAUCCCGGACCAUAUCCUCAAGUGACCGGCUCCUGUGUCCACGUGGCCUUGCCAAAAGGCAGCUAGACGUUCUCAGGGAUUUCCCAGAAGGCAAAUAUUCCUUUCCUCAUAAAAUUUGCGUAUGGUGCUCA